GAUGAAGAACGUAGCAAAAUGCGAUAAGUAAUGUGAAUUCAGAAUUCAGUGAAUCAUCGAAUCUUUGAACGCACAUUGCGCCCGCCAGUAUUCUGGCGGGCAUGCCUGUUCGAGCGUCAUUUCAACCCUCAAGCACAGCUUGGUGUUGGGACUCGCGUUAAUUCGCGUUCCCCAAAUUGAUUGGCGGUCACGUCGAGCUUCCAUAGCGUAGUAGUAAAACCCUCGUUACUGGUAAUCGUCGCGGCCACGCCGUUAAACCCCAACUUCUGAAUGUUGACCUCGGAUCAGGUAGGAAUACCCGCUGAACUUAAGCAUAUCAAUAAGCGGAAGA
rnacentral:misc_RNA from 1 species